CCCAAGUGAUUCGUCGUAGAAAUGCUGCUUCUUCAUCAAUACGUCAAGUGAACAUAUCACGGUCGACGCCAAUAUCUUCCCCUUCCCGCCGCACCAGAGUUCAUGCUAGUCGAGAACCCGAAUCUGUAUUGUCGCGUCACACAGCUCCUCCACUUUCUACUGUUGCUGCUCCACCGUCUCAACGGCGAACUGAAUUCUCAACGUUUACUGCGAGAUUCCUAAGGGUGGAAGAACAGCAGCUGGAAAUUCAAAGGUCUUUCGUGCAAAUCCU